UACGUAGGGGGCAAGCGUUGUCCGGAAUCAUUGGGCGUAAAGCGCGCGUAGGCGGCCCUGUAAGUCCGUUGUGAAAGUCAAAGGCUCAACCUUUGAAAGCCGAUGGAUACUGUCGGGCUAGAGUCCGGAAGAGGCGAGUGGAAUUCCUGGUGUAGCGGUGAAAUGCGCAGAUAUCAGGAGGAACACCAAUGGCGAAGGCAGCUCGCUGGGACGGUACUGACGCUGAGGCGCGAAAGCGUGGGGAGCAAACAGG
rnacentral:rRNA from 1 species